UAAUAAUUGUUGUUGUGAUCAUCAGAUGGAAGAAAACUAAAGUAAACAAAGCACAACAGAGCGACAACAUGCGACUGAGCUUAAACCCUGCAGACACUGAGUCUGGUCCAGGAACCAAUCAGGAGACGGCUGAUGCUGAUGAUGGUGUUUCCUAUGCUUCCAUCAGUUUCACCAAGAAGACCAAGAAUAAAGCCCGGGCUUGUGGGGAUGAUGAUGACACUGUGACUUAUAGCACUAUGAAAGUUCCCUCCUCACCUGCUGGACUUUCCACUGAUCCCAGCGACC